AUUGAACGCUGGCGGCAUGCUUUACACAUGCAAGUCGAACGGUAACAGGGUGCUUGCUACCGGACCUAGCGGCGGACGGGUGAGUAAUGCUUAGGAAUCUGCCUAUUAGUGGGGGACAACAUCUCGAAAGGGAUGAUAAUACCGCAUACGUCCUACGGGAGAAAGCAGGGGAUCUUCGGACCUUGCGCUAAUAGAUGAGCCUAAGUCGGAUUAGCUAGUUGGUGGGGUAAAGGCCUACCAAGGCGACGAUCUGUAGCGGGUCUGAGAGGAUGAUCCGCCACACUGGGACUGAGACACGGCCCAGACUCCUACGGGAGGCAGCAGUGGGGAAUAUUGGACAAUGGGGGGAACCCUGAUCCAGCCAUGCCGCGUGUGUGAAGAAGGCCUUAUGGUUGUAAAGCACUUUAAGCGAGGAGGAGGCUACUUUAGUUAAUACCUAGAGAUAGUGGACGUUACUCGCAGAAUAAGCACCGGCUAACUCUGUGCCAGCCGCCGCAGUAA
rnacentral:rRNA from 1 species